GCCAGGUGUGGUGGUGCACACCUGAAAUCCCAGCAGCUUGAGAGGCUGAGGCAGGAGGAUUGCAAGUUCAAAGCUAUCCUCAUCAAUUUAGCGAGGCCCUGAGCAACUUUGUGAGACUCUGUCUCUA
rnacentral:sRNA from 1 species